rnacentral:lncRNA from 1 species
CAGACGCGCAUGAAAUUUGGUGCCGUGACUCGGAUCGGGGGACCUCCCUUAGGAGAUCAAUCCCCUGUCCUCCUGUUCUUUGCUCUGUGAGAAAGAUCCACCUACAACCUCAGGUCCUCAGACCAACCAGCCCAAGAAACAUCUCACCAAUUUCAAAUCCGGUGUGCAGAAACCGAAAGAGUACUCACCAGAUGGAUGAUGUCCCUGAGGCCUUUAUAAAACCAGAUCCUGAAUAAAGUCAGAGCUCAACCAAAAGGAGUGAGUCCAAAAUAUAUGAGGCGACUGACAGAAACAAAGAGGUGAUUCAUGAAAAUGAAGAGCAC